rnacentral:misc_RNA from 1 species
GAUGAAGAACGUAGCGAAAUGCGAUAAGUAAUGUGAAUUGCAGAACUCAGUGAAUCAUCGAAUCUUUGAACGCACAUUGCGCCCCUUGGUAUUCCGAGGGGCAUGCCUGUUCGAGCGUCAUUAUAACCCCUCAAGCUCAGCUUGGUGUUGGGGCCUGCCGCACGGGCAGCCCUUAAAAUCAGUGGCGGUGCCAUCUGGCUCUAAGCGUAGUAAUUCUUCUCGCUAUAGAGUCCCGGUGGAUGCUUGCCAUUAACCCCCAAUUUUCUAUGGUUGACCUCGGAUCAGGUAGGGAUACCCGCUGAACUUAAGCAUAUCAAUAAGCGAGGA